AUAUAUAUAUAUAUAUACAUAUAUAAGUAUAUAUUAUUAUAUAUAAAUAUAUUUUUUUUAAUCGCUAAAAAUGGUCGAAGCUAUCAUUAUAAAACACGAGUGUACACAGACAAUCGAAGGAUGUGUUGUCAAAAAAAGUAAAGCCAAAAAAGAACAAACGCAUGUUAAAAAAUCAAAUAAUAAUGAUAAUCAAGUUUUAACACUUAGAAGGUCUCCCAGAUUAAAACAAAAAAAUGAUGGUAAUGAUGAUAGUAAUUUAUAUGAAACUGAUAAAACAAAGGAAGAUGCCAAAGGAGCAGAAGCAAUUAUUUGGAGCUACAUUAAACGUCAACAGUAUGAGAAAAAUAGCAAACUAUGCGGAAUUAACGGUAUCAACAAGGAUGAAUGUGACAGUAGUAGCAUAGAAAAUAUUAGUGAAAUGUUGAGCAUUGACGAUAUAAAAGAGCACAUUAAGAGACUACUAAUACUACUGAAAACGGGAGAAGUUUAUUUAAACGAAUUUUAUGAAAAUUUGUACCAAGGUGAAUUAGAAAAUAAAUAUAUUAUUGAUGACACAGCUAGUAAAAACACAUCACAGUUGCAUGAAGGAAAAACAUACAUUAACAAUAUAUAUAACACUGUAUUACAAAACGUAAAAUAUUCUUCGAAAAUAAUAAACAAUAGGAUUUAUGAAUACAGAGAACAAUAUAAUAAAGAAAAUCAUUCAAUUACCUUUUAUCAAGUUGAUGGCACUAAGCGUUCAUUUACAUUGCCAAAAAAUACAUUUUAUUAUUUUACAACAAAAAAUGAUAAUAUUUUCAGUCCUAGUGAAAUAGUUAGUUACAAAGAGCGAAGUGAUGAAAAAAUAAUAGAAUCUAGUUCUUUUGAAAGUAGUAAUAAGGAUAGCACUUAUAUAUACGCAUUUUGUAACAAUCAUGAAAUGAGCGACGAGAGUAACAGUAACUGUGUAAGUAUAGUAGUUAAAGACACACAGAAGGAAACAAAUAAUAUCACCAAGCUUUCAUUGCAGAAGCAACCUGUACGUACAUUUUAUAAUAAUAAUCAUUUAUUUCUGGUAAGUUUGUUAGAUCAUGAUAAUAAAAAAGGUUGUAACAAAUUGCACUAUUUUACACACUCUAUUUAUAAUAACAACGAUAAAGAACCAAUUCGAUUAAUGUAUAUAUCUCCCAUACAUCCAAUGUAUCCAGAUAUCAUAAUGAAUGAGGAUACGUAUACAAAAUUUUUAAAAUGUAAAUACUAUUAUGAACAAGACAAGUGUUUUAUUUGGACCGAUGAAUCAGUAGCCACAUGCUCACAUUCUAAAGACUGUAGUAGAUUAAAUGAAAUUCCAAAUAUGGAUAUAAUUCAUAUUAAUGAAAACGUGCCUAUAUGUAUUGCUUUUAAUAAUAGAACAGAAACAUAUUUUUUUUUUCAUAUAGUAUAUAAUAUAAAAAAAUAUGAUAAUAGUUUUAAUAAUUUAAAUUCAUACCACAAAAACUUAAAAAUACAUAAUUAUAUUAAGCUGUACCAUUUCUUAUCUAUAAAAAAAAAG
rnacentral:lncRNA from 1 species